AUUGAACGCUGGCGGCAUGCCUUACACAUGCCAGUCGAACGGCAGCACGGGUGCUUGCCCCUGGUGGCGAGUGGCGAACGGGUGAGUAAUACAUCGGAACAUGCCCUGUAGUGGGGGAUAGCCCGGCGAAAGCCGGAUUAAUACCGCAUACGAUCCACGGAUGAAAGCGGGGGACCUUCGGGCCUCGCGCUAUAGGGUUGGCCGAUGGCUGAUUAGCUAGUUGGUGGGGUAAAGGCCUACCAAGGCGACGAUCAGUAGCUGGUCUGAGAGGACGACCAGCCACACUGGGACUGAGACACGGCCCAGACUCCUACGGGAGGCAGCAGUGGGGAAUUUUGGACAAUGGGCGAAAGCCUGAUCCAGCAAUGCCGCGUGUGUGAAGAAGGCCUUCGGGUUGUAAAGCACUUUUGUCCGGAAAGAAAUCCUUGACUCUAAUACAGUCGGGGGAUGACGGUACCGGAAGAAUAAGCACCGGCUAACUACGUG
rnacentral:rRNA from 1 species